GAUGAACGCUGGCGGCGUGCCUAAUACAUGCAAGUCGAGCGAACGGACGAGAAGCUUGCUCUUCUGAUGUUAGCGGCGGACGGGUGAGUAACACGUGGAUAACCUACCUAUAAGACUGGGAUAACUUCGGGAAACCGGAGCUAAUACCGGAUAAUAUUUUGAACCGCAUGGUUCAAAAGUGAAAGACGGUCCUGCUGUCACUUAUAGAUGGAUCCGCGCUGCAUUAGCUAGUUGGUAAGGUAACGGCUUACCAAGGCAACGAUGCAUAGCCGACCUGAGAGGGUGAUCGGCCACACUGGAACUGAGACACGGUCCAGACUCCUACGGGAGGCAGCAGUAGGGAAUCUUCCGCAAUGGGCGAAAGCCUGACGGAGCAACGCCGCGUGAGUGAUGAAGGUCUUCGGAUCGUAAAACUCUGUUAUUAGGGAAGAACAUAUGUGUAAGUAACUGUGCACAUCUUGACGGUACCUAAUCAGAAAGCCACGGCUAACUACGUG
rnacentral:rRNA from 1 species